UACGAAGGGGGCUAGCGUUGCUCGGAAUCACUGGGCGUAAAGCGCACGUAGGCGGACUCUUAAGUCGGUGGUGAAAUCCUGGAGCUCAACUCCAGAACUGCCUUCGAUACUGAGAGUCUCGAGUCCGAGAGAGGUGAGUGGAACUGCGAGUGUAGAGGUGAAAUUCGUAGAUAUUCGCAAGAACACCAGUGGCGAAGGCGGCUCACUGGCUCGGUUACUGACGCUGAGGUGCGAAAGCGUGGGGAGCAAACAGG
rnacentral:rRNA from 1 species